rnacentral:rRNA from 1 species
CAGCAGUAGCCGCGGUAAUACGGAGGGUGCAAGCGUUAAUCGGAAUUACUGGGCGUAAAGCGCACGCAGGCGGUCUGACAAGUCAGAUGUGAAAUCCCCGGGCUUAACCUGGGAACUGCAUUUGAAACUGUCAGGCUGGAGUCUUGUAGAGGGGGGUGGAAUUCCAGGUGUAGCGGUGAAAUGCGUAGAGAUCUGGAGGAAUACCGGUGGCGAAGGCGGCCCCCUGGACAAAGACUGACGCUCAGGUGCGAAAGCGUGGGGAGCAAACAGGAUUAGAUACCCGAGUAGUCCCUGUCUCUUAUAC